rnacentral:rRNA from 1 species
AUCCAGCUUGCUGGAUGCUGACGAGCGGCGGACGGGUGAGUAAUGCAUAGGAAUCUGCCCGAUAGUGGGGGAUAACCUGGGGAAACCCAGGCUAAUACCGCAUACGUCCUACGGGAGAAAGGGGGCUCCGGCUCCCGCUAUGGGAUGAGCCUAUGUCGGAUUAGCUGGUUGGUGAGGUAACGGCUCACCAAGGCCACGAUCCGUAGCUGGUCUGAGAGGAUGAUCAGCCACAUCGGGACUGAGACACGGCCCGAACUCCUACGGGAGGCAGCAGUGGGGAAUAUUGGACAAUGGGGGAAACCCUGAUCCAGCCAUGCCGCGUGUGUGAAGAAGGCCCUCGGGUUGUAAAGCACUUUCAGCGAGGAAGAACGCCUAGCGGUUAAUACCCGCUAGGAAAGACAUCACUCGCAGAAGAAGCACCGGCUAACUCCGUGCCAGCAGCCGCGGUAAUACGGAGGGUGCGAGCGUUAAUCGGAAUUACUGGGCGUAAAGCGCGCGUAGGUGGCUUGAUAAGCCGGUUGUGAAAGCCCCGGGCUCAACCUGGGAACGGCAUCCGGAACUGUCAAGCUAGAGUGCAGGAGAGGAAGGUAGAAUUCCCGGUGUAGCGGUGAAAUGCGUAGAGAUCGGGAGGAAUACCAGUGGCGAACGCGGCCUUCUGGACUGACACUGACACUGAGGUGCGAAAGCGUGGGUAGC